rnacentral:rRNA from 1 species
GUGGGGAAUAUUGCACAAUGGGCGCAAGCCUGAUGCAGCGACGCCGCGUGAGGGAUGGAGGCCUUCGGGUUGUAAACCUCUUUUAUCGGGGAGCAAGCGAGAGUGAGUUUACCCGUUGAAUAAGCACCGGCUAACUACGUGCCAGCAGCCGCGGUAAUACGUAGGGUGCAAGCGUUAUCCGGAAUUAUUGGGCGUAAAGGGCUCGUAGGCGGUUCGUCGCGUCAGGGGUGAAAGUCCAUCGCUUAACGGUGGAUCCGCGCCGGGUACAGGCGGGCGUGAGUGCGGUAGGGGAGACUGGAAUUCCCGGUGUAACGGUGGAAUGUGUAGAUAUAGGGAAGAACACCAAUGGCGAAGGCAGGUCUCUGGGCCGUUACUGACGCUGAGGAGCGAAAGCGUGGGGAGCGAACAGGAUUAGAAACCCCUGUAGUCC